AAUCUUCCGCAAUGGACGAAAGUCUGACGGAGCGAUGCCGCGUGAGUGAUGAAGGUCUUCGGAUCGUAAAACUCUGUUGUUACGGUAGAACAACUAUCGGUGUAAUAUCCCGGUACCUUGACGGUACCUAACUAGAAAGCCCCCUCUAACUACCUGCCAGCAGCCGCGGUAAUACGUAGGGGGCAAGCGUUGUCCGGAAUUAUUGGGCGUAAAGGGCACGCAGGCGGUUAUUUAAGUCUGAUGUGAAAUCUUGUGGCUUAACCACAAGCGGUCAUUGGAAACUGGAUAACUUGAGUACAGAAGAGGAGAGUGGAAUUCCACGUGUAGCGGUGAAAUGCGUAGAGAUGUGGAGGAACACCAGUGGCGAAGGCGGCUCUCUGGUCUGUAACUGACGCUGAGGUGCGAAAGCGUGGGUAGCGAACA
rnacentral:rRNA from 1 species